rnacentral:lncRNA from 1 species
CCUGUAAGGUAUGACAACAACUACAGCUCCAGAAAUUAAAGUGUCGCGGAACAGAAAAUGACUGCUUAUUACUUCACUAAAUGAUCCCACGUGGCACCUUAGGUGAUUAUUAGGAAAGAAUACUGUAUUCCUUCAGGAACUAUUCCAUCAAGACAGGACCACCGGGCCAACGUGGCUCCACGCGGAAGGGCGCCUGCAGAGACAGCCCCACGCACCCCACGUGGGUGACAGUGACCACUGAGGCGGGCAGAGGCUGGCUCCACUCCCAGGAAAAGGAAUAGAAACUGCUGCCCUGAUUCCCCACAGCACAGCAAGAAGGGCCCCUGACAAGCCUGGGCUGCACCUACGGUACAUAAACACAUAUAAAUAAAGAGAAAAUUUUG